rnacentral:rRNA from 1 species
GACGAACGCUGGCGGCGUGCUUAACACAUGCAAGUCGAACGGAAAGGCCCCUUUGGGGGUACUCGAGUGGCGAACGGGUGAGUAACACGUGAGUAACCUGCCCUUGACUUCGGGAUAACUUCAGGAAACUGGGGCUAAUACCGGAUAGGAAUCCUUGCUGCAUGGUUGGGGUUGGAAAGCUUCGGGGGGUUUGGAUGGACUCGCGGCUUUUCAGCUUGUUGGUGGGGGAGUGGGUUACCAAGGCUUUGACGGGUAGGCGGCCGGGGAGGGCGACCGGCCACAAUGGGACUGGGAUACGGCCCAGACGCCUACGGGAGGCAGCAGGGGGGAAUAUUGCACAAUGGGCGGAAGCCUGAUGCAGCAACGCCGCGUGCGGGAUGACGGCCUUCGGGUUGUAAACCGCUUUCAGCAGGGGCGAAGCUUGUGGUGACGGUACCUGCAGAAGAAGCACCGGCUAACUACGUG